ACGCUGGCGGCGUGCCUAUACAUGCAAGUCGAGCGAAUGGAUUGAGAGCUUGCUCUCAAGAAGUUAGCGGCGGACGGGUGAGUAACACGUGGGUAACCUGCCCAUAAGACUGGGAUAACUCCGGGAAACCGGGGCUAAUACCGGAUAAUAUUUUGAACUGCAUGGUUCGAAAUUGAAAGGCGGCUUCGGCUGUCACUUAUGGAUGGACCCGCGUCGCAUUAGCUAGUUGGUGAGGUAACCGGCUCACCAAGGCAACGAUGCGUAGCCGACCUGAGAGGGUGAUCGGCCACACUGGGACUGAGACACGGCCCAGACUCCUACGGGAGGCAGCAGUAGGGAAUCUUCCGCAAUGGACGAAAGUCUGACGGAGCAACGCCGCGUGAGUGAUGAAGGCUUUCGGGUCGUAAAACUCUGUUGUUAGGGAAGAACAAGUGCUAGUUGAAUAAGCUGGCACCUUGACGGUACCUAACCAGAAAGCCACGGCUAACUACGUGCCAGCAGCCGCGGUAAUACGUAGGUGGCAAGCGUUAUCCGGAAUUAUUGGGCGUAAAGCGCGCCCAGGUGGUUCUUAAGUCUGAUGUGAAAGCCCCGGCUCACCGUGGAGGGUCAUUGGAACUGGGAGACUUGAGUGCAGAAAAGAAAGUGAUCCAUGUGUAGCGGUGAAAUGCGUAGAGAUAUGGAGACACCAGUGGGGAGCGA
rnacentral:rRNA from 1 species